GACGACAUUUUAGUAUAAAAUGUACUGGAAAAAUAGUAAAUAUAUUUAUAGUUAGUUUCUAUAAAUGAAGAAUAACCGUACCUAGACUCUGAAACAAGUAAGCUAGUAGAGAAUACGAAGGCGUAAAUGAGCUAACAAUCAUAAAGGAACUCGGCAAAUUGACUACCGUAACUUCGGAAUAAGGAGGGCUCAUUAUUCUUGAUUAAUAUCAAGUAAAGAGGAAGAAGCAUGAAAUAAUGUUGUACGACUGUUUAAUUAAAACACAGCACUCUGCUGAAAGAUCAAAAAUCUAAGUAUAGAGUGUGAUAUCUGCCCGGUGCCGGCUGGUUAACAGAGAUAAUUGAAUAUACUACUAUUUGAUGUCGACGGAAACCCCGGUUAAAGGCGGCCUUAACGUGAGGGUCCUAAGGUAGCGAAAUGCCUUGGCCGUUAAAUGCGGUCUUGCAUGAAUGGUGUAACGAUACAACAGCUGUCUCUAUGAUUGACUCAGUGAAAUUGGAAUAGCAGUGCAGAUACUGCUUACCUCUAGUUAGACGAGAGUGCGACUAGAAAGUGCUUAAUAAC
rnacentral:ncRNA from 1 species